rnacentral:lncRNA from 9 species
AUGGGGAGAGCUGGACCAGGAGACAUGAGUGAAGAGAGGAGGCGGUGUGAGAAUGUGGAGGAUAUGGCACUCAUCCAUGUGACUGUGUCGCACUGGGGCUUCAUAAUCUAUGAACUCCUGAGUCCACUGAGUUCUAGGAACUAUGGAACAGUUAGCACAAAUACCAGUGUAUUAAAGAAGAGGAGGGGAGGAGAAGAAAAAAGAGAAAGAGAAGAAGAAGAAAAGAAAGAGGAAGAAGAUAAAGGAGAAGAGAUGUCAAAAAAGGAUAAUUAGACAAAAAAUAAACCAACCACCUAUAUUAUUUAAUAAAUUAUGCUCAAAAUUUGCACAGAUGUAUUGCAAUAUAUUCAUGUUGUUAAAAAAAAAGCACUUUGGGAGUUCCCACUGUGGUGCAACGGGAUUGGUGGCAUCUUGGGAGAGCUGGGACGCAGGUUCUGACCCCUGGCCCAAUCUCUGCCCAGCGCAGUGGGUUAAUCCAACUUUGCUGCAGUGGCCUAGGUCAAGACUGGGCUGGGAUCUGAUCCCUGGCCU